UACGUAGGGAGCAAGCGUUGUCCGGAAUCAUUGGGCGUAAAGCGCGCGUAGGCGGCCCUGUAAGUCCGUUGUGAAAGUCAAAGGCUCAACCUUUGAAAGCCGAUGGAUACUGCAGGGCUAGAGUCCGGAAGAGGCGAGUGGAAUUCCUGGUGUAGCGGUGGAAUGCGCAGAUAUCAGGAGGAACACCAAGAGCGAAGGCAGCUCGCUGGGACGGUACUGACGCUAAGGCGCGAAAGCGUGGGGAGCAAACAGG
rnacentral:rRNA from 1 species